UUAGUUGCCAUCAUUUAGUUGGGCACUUUAAGGAAACUGCCGGUGAUAAGCCGGAGGAAGGUGGGGAUGACGUCAAGUCCUCAUGGCCCUUACGGGCUGGGCUACACACGUGCUACAAUGGCAUCUACAGUGGGCAGCUAUCCCGCAAGGGUGAGCUAAUCUCNCAAAAGAUGUCUCAGUUCGGAUUGUCCUCUGCAACUCGAGGGCAUGAAGGCGGAAUCGCUAGUAAUCGCGGAUCAGCAUGCCGCGGUGAAUACGUUCCCAGGCCUUGUACACACCGCCCGUCACACCAUGGGAGUUGGAUUCACCCGAAGGCAGUGCGCUAACCGCAGGGAGGCAGCUGA
rnacentral:rRNA from 1 species